AUACAAUAGGCAUGUGGUGGUGGUUAUCUUGUAUUGUCUCCGGGUGGUGCUACCAAAUACAUAUUCAACAUCACAAGUAAGCCCUGAUCAUGUCAAAGGAUAAAAAACAAAGAGAAAAGUGAAGGAAAGAAGCUAGGUACUCUUCCUUUACUUUAACAACACCACUCACAGAGUUGUCUUAUUAUAAAAGCAAGCAAGGAACUCAAUAAAACUGAAGAAAAACGUAAUUCCAAGCUGCAGAAAGGGCAAUUUUGUAGCUAAAAUGAGUUCCUUCUUUAAGCUAUUGAUCACAGGAAGUCUUUUGUUAUUGAAUUUGUUAUCCUAUAUUUGUACAUAUAUUCCACUUAAAUCCCCACAAAGCAUUUUUUAUGCAUUGCCAUAUAACAAUUAGAGCAUGCCUAUAUACAAGACCAGAACUUUAAUACCAGAAUUCCCAAGAAAAAGUCAUGAAAUGAAUACUUUAAACAAGAUUUUCAUCAUUACUCACCUGAAACAGGGCUUUAAUUCACUUUCUGUGAUUGGUUUGAUUACGAUUUUUGCCGUAAGAAUCCUCUGGGGAGGUACUUCAGCCGAGUACUCGUUUAUCAUUAUAAGGUGCAGUGGUCAUGAUGGGGAAGAUGGGCACAUGAAAAACUAACUCAUUGAAGAUACACAGAAGCCCUUGAGUAGUUGAAGAGACUGUAUGUGUGUAUGUGUGUGUGCAUGAGUUAGUAAUGCACGUGCCCUGCUUCUCCAUCUUGCUCUACACACACCUUCUUUGAUUGCUGCAGCAAGAGGCUAGCUACCCCAACUCAUUAAAAAUGGUGAGUUAGAGAUGCUCAGCUGCAAAAAUAUGGAGUCCAUGCUUACACAUUUAUAAUGAGAGAGGCAGGCAAGUAAGUUGAGUUUAAAGGGGAAGAAAGGAAAAGCUAGGUAAUUAGUUGGGUGUGGACCCCGAUGGCCAUGACUAAGCAACCCAAAGGUCCCAAACAGCUUGUCACAACUUUUGUAGGACCACAACUUCAAGUCUAGCUAUAUAUCCCAUCACUUGUUUGCAGAAUUUAUUAAAAACUAUGUUUUAAUAAUCUUCUUUAAUCUCAUAUUGAAGCUGGGGAGAACUGAGGAAAGGAUUCAGCCAAAUACAUGUGCUUCUAAAUUAAAUCCCCACUCAGAAUGUAUAUUUGUUUAAUCAGUAGAGGCAGACAAAGAGAAAAUAAUUGUAUCACAAGAAAAUUCAUGAAGCUCGUGUUGAUGAUCCGAAUGUUGUGGGAAAAUGUAGAAGGAAGGAAGGAAGGAGUGGCCUGGCGUUUUCAACUUUUGGAUUCUUCCAUUUUUAACGGUUGAAGAAGUGAUGUGUGAAGAUUAAAAUUUUCAUAAUUGUAUUAAUUGUCAAUUUUACUAGACCCACCUUUCAUCUGAUUGACUUCCACUUCUUAGUCCACUUCUGAUUGUGGAGGUCAUAAGAUGCUUCUCAUGUCAAUGGGAGAAUCUCUUCCUUUUUCUUCUUUAAUUUCCCUCAAAAAUAAUUUUUUGUGGAAAAACUAGAGGUAGAUCCCAAUAAUUUGAAACAAUUCAAGGUUGAUUAAUAUUUUAUUUGAACCAAGCCAUGUGCUUGCGAGCUUUAAUACUUGACUUACACGUCUAUUGUACACUAGCUCGAACGAGCUCAAACGGGACAUUAUGGAUUCAAUCCUAGCUCUUGUUUUGGCUUGGAUUGAAUCCAUCGCCACUCCACUUUGAAGUAUUGCUCAUUCUCCUUUCGAAAAAGAUAUUAGAAGAUUGAUUUUGUUAAAAACUCCAUGAAUUAUAAUGAUAUUGUUAAGGCUUUAGCUG